CGCCGGAUAAGGCAUUCACGCCGCAUCCGGCGGUUGUGCGAGAUGCCUGAUGCGACGCUGUUGUGUCUUAUCUGGCG
rnacentral:ncRNA from 1 species